rnacentral:rRNA from 1 species
GAUGAACGCUGGCGGCGUGCUUAACACAUGCAAGUCGAGCGAAGCACUUUUGCGGAUUUCUUCGGAUUGAAGCAAUUGUGACUGAGCGGCGGACGGGUGAGUAACGCGUGGGUAACCUGCCUCAUACAGGGGGAUAACAGUUGGAAACGGCUGCUAAUACCGCAUAAGCGCACAGUACCGCAUGGUACCGUGUGAAAAACUCCGGUGGUAUGAGAUGGACCCGCGUCUGAUUAGGUAGUUGGUGGGGUAACGGCCUACCAAGCCGACGAUCAGUAGCCGACCUGAGAGGGUGACCGGCCACAUUGGGACUGAGACACGGCCCAAACUCCUACGGGAGGCAGCAGUGGGGAAUAUUGCACAAUGGGGGAAACCCUGAUGCAGCGACGCCGCGUGAGCGAUGAAGUAUUUCGGUAUGUAAAGCUCUAUCAGCAGGGAAGAAAAUGACGGUACCUGACUAAGAAGCCCCGGCUAACUACGUGCCAGCAGCCGCGGUAAUACGUAGGGGGCAAGCGUUAUCCGGAUUUGCUGGGUGUAAAGGGAGCGUAGACGGCAUGGCAAGCCAGAUGUGAAAGCCCGGGGCUCAACCCCGGGACUGCAUUUGGAACUGUCAGGCUAGAGUGUCGGAGAGGAAAGCGGAAUUCCUAGUGUAGCGGUGAAAUGCGUAGAUAUUAGGAGGAACACCAGUGGCGAAGGCGGCUUUCUGGACGAUGACUGACGUUGAGGCUCGAAAGCGUGGGGAGCAAACAAGAUUAGAUACCCUGGUAGUCCACGCCGUAAACGAUCCAUACUAGGUGUCGGGUGGCAAAGCCACUCGGUGCCGCAGCAAACGCAAUAAGUAUUCCACCUGGGGAGUACGUUCGCAAGAAUGAAACUCAAAGGAAUUGACGGGGACCCGCACAAGCGGUGGAGCAUGUGGUUUAAUUCGAAGCAACGCGAAGAACCUUACCUGGUCUUGACAUCCCUCUGACCGCUCUUUAAUCGGAGCUUUCCUUCGGGACAGAGGAGACAGGUGGUGCAUGGUUGUCGUCAGCUCGUGUCGUGAGAUGUUGGGUUAAGUCCCGCAACGAGCGCAACCCCCAUCUUUAGUAGCCAGCAUCUAAGGUGGGCACUCUAGAGAGACUGCCAGGGAUAACCUGGAGGAAGGUGGGGAGGACGUCAAAUCAUCAUGCCCCUUAUGACCAGGGCUACACACGUGCUACAAUGGCGUAAACAAAGGGAAGCGAGCCCGCGAGGGGGAGCAAAUCCCAAAAAUAACGUCUCAGUUCGGAUUGUAGUCUGCAACUCGACUACAUGAAGCUGGAAUCGCUAGUAAUCGCGAAUCAGAAUGUCGCG